GACGUAGGGCGCGAGCGUUGUCCGGAUUUAUUGGGCGUAAAGAGCUCGUAGGCGGCUUGUUGCGUCAGCUGUGAAAACCCGCAGCUCAACUGUGGGCUUGCAGCUGAUACGGGCAGGCUUGAGUUCGGGAGAGGGAAGCGGAAUUCCGGGUGUAGCGGUGAAAUGCGUAGAUAUCCGGAGGAACACCGGUGGCGAAGGCGGCUUCCUGGACCGACACUGACGCUGAGGCGCGAAAGCUAGGGGAGCAAACGGG
rnacentral:rRNA from 1 species